UGAACGCUGGCGGCGUGCUUAACACAUGCAAGUCGAACGGAGUUCAGAUGAAACCUAGUGAUUCUGAACUUAGUGGCGGACGGGUGAGUAACGCGUGGGUAACCUGCCCUGUACAGGGGGAUAACAGUUGGAAACGACUGCUAACACCGCAUAACAUUGAGGGAGCGUAUGGUCCCUUGAUCAAACAUUCAUGGGUACAGGAUGGGCCCGCGUCUGAUUAGCCAGUUGGUGAGGUAACGGCUCACCAAAGCGACGAUCAGUAGCCGUACUGAGAGGUAGAACGGCCACAUUGGGACUGAGACACGGCCCAAACUCCUACGGGAGGCAGCAGUGGGGAAUAUUGGGCAAAUGGGGGAAACCCUGACCCAGCAACGCCGCGUGAGGGAAGAAGGUUUUCGGAUCGUAAACCCCUGUCCUUGGUGAAGAGAAAGAGACGGUAGCCAAGGAGGAAGCCCCGGCUAACUACGUGCCAGCCGCUGC
rnacentral:rRNA from 1 species